UACGGGGGGAGCAAGCGUUGGUUCGGAUUUACUGGGCGUUAAAGGGCGCGUAGGCGGCGUGGCAAGUCACUUGUGAAAUCUCCGGGCUUAACUCGGAACGGUCAAGUGAUAACUGCUGUGCUAGAGUGCGGAAGGGGCAACUGGAAUUCUUGGUGUAGCGGUGAAAUGCGUAGAUAUCUGGAGGAACACCGGUGGCGAAGGCGGCAUCCUGGACCGACACUGACGCUGAGGCGCGAAAGCUAGGGUAGCAAACGGGG
rnacentral:rRNA from 1 species